AUGAACGCUAGCGACAGGCUUAACACAUGCAAGUCGAGGGGCAGCACAGGUAGCAAUACCGGGUGGCGACCGGCGCACGGGUGAGUAACGCGUAUGCAACUUACCUAUCAGAGGGGGAUAACCCGGCGAAAGUCGGACUAAUACCGCAUGAAGCAGGGGCCCCGCAUGGGGAUAUUUGCUAAAGAUUCAUCGCUGAUAGAUAGGCAUGCGUUCCAUUAGGCAGUUGGCGGGGUAACGGCCCACCAAACCGACGAUGGAUAGGGGUUCUGAGAGGAAGGUCCCCCACAUUGGUACUGAGACACGGACCAAACUCCUACGGGAGGCAGCAGUGAGGAAUAUUGGUCAAUGGCCGAGAGGCUGAACCAGCCAAGUCGCGUGAGGGAUGAAGGUUCUAUGGAUCGUAAACCUCUUUUAUAAGGGAAUAAAGUGCGGGACGUGUCCCGUUUUGUAUGUACCUUAUGAAUAAGGAUCGGCUAACUCCGUGCCAGCAGCCGCGGUAAUACGGAGGAUCCGAGCGUUAUCCGGAUUUAUUGGGUUUAAAGGGUGCGUAGGCGGCCUUUUAAGUCAGCGGUGAAAGUCUGUGGCUCAACCAUAGAAUUGCCGUUGAAACUGGGGGGCUUGAGUAUGUUUGAGGCAGGCGGAAUGCGUGGUGUAGCGGUGAAAUGCAUAGAUAUCACGCAGAACCCCGAUUGCGAAGGCAGCCUGCCAAGCCAUGACUGACGCUGAUGCACGAAAGCGUGGGGAUCAAACAGGAUUAGAUACCCUGGUAGUCCACGCAGUAAACGAUGAUCACUAGCUGUUUGCGGUACACUGUAAGCGGCACAGCGAAAGCGUUAAGUGAUCCACCUGGGGAGUACGCCGGCAACGGUGAAACUCAAAGGAAUUGACGGGGGCCCGCACAAGCGGAGGAACAUGUGGUUUAAUUCGAUGAUACGCGAGGAACCUUACCCGGGUUUGAACGCAUUCGGACCGAGGUGGAAACACCUUUUCUAGCAAUAGCCGUUUGCGAGGUGCUGCAUGGUUGUCGUCAGCUCGUGCCGUGAGGUGUCGGCUUAAGUGCCAUAACGAGCGCAACCCUUGCCACUAGUUACUAACAGGUAAAGCUGAGGACUCUGGUGGGACUGCCAGCGUAAGCUGCGAGGAAGGCGGGGAUGACGUCAAAUCAGCACGGCCCUUACAUCCGGGGCGACACACGUGUUACAAUGGCGUGGACAAAGGGAAGCCACCUGGCGACAGGGAGCGAAUCCCCAAACCACGUCUCAGUUCGGAUCGGAGUCUGCAACCCGACUCCGUGAAGCUGGAUUCGCUAGUAAUCGCGCAUCAGCCAUGGCGCGGUGAAUACGUUCCCGGGCCUUGUACACACCGCCCGUCAAGCCAUGGGAGCCGGGGGUACCUGAAGUCCGUAACCGCGAGGAUCGGCCUAGGGUAAAACUGGUGACUGGGGCU
rnacentral:rRNA from 1 species